rnacentral:rRNA from 1 species
AUUGAACGCUGGCGGCAGGCCUAACACAUGCAAGUCGAACGGUAACAGGAAGCAGCUUGCUGCUUCGCUGACGAGUGGCGGACGGGUGAGUAAUGUCUGGGAAGCUGCCUGAGGGAGGGGGAUAACUACUGGAAACGGUAGCUAAUACCGCAUAAUGUCGCAAGACCAAAGAGGGGGACCUUCGGUCCUCUUGCCAUCGGAUGUGCCCAGAUGGGAGUAGCUUGUUGGUGGGGUAACUGCUCACCAAGGCGACGAUCCCUAGCUGGUCUGAGAGGGUGACUAGCCACCCUGGCACUGAGACACAGUCGCCACUCCUGCGCGGGGACACAGCGGGGACUCUUGCAGGAGGGGGGCGUGCCUGAUGCAGCCCUGCGGGGUGUAGGCAGACGCACUUAGGCUUGUAGAAUGAUUUCAGCCGGAGGGAAGGGAGUAACGUUAAUCCCUGUCCUCAUUGACGUUACCCGCAGAAGAAGCCCCGGCUAACUCCGUG